rnacentral:rRNA from 1 species
GACGAACGCUGGCGGCGUGCUUAACACAUGCAAGUCGAACGGAAAGGCCCUGCUUUUGUGGGGUGCUCGAGUGGCGAACGGGUGAGUAACACGUGAGUAACCUGCCCUUGACUUUGGGAUAACUUCAGGAAACUGGGGCUAAUACCGGAUAGGAGCUCCUGCUGCAUGGUGGGGGUUGGAAAGUUUCGGCGGUUGGGGAUGGACUCGCGGCUUAUCAGCUUGUUGGUGGGGUAGUGGCUUACCAAGGCUUUGACGGGUAGCCGGCCUGAGAGGGUGACCGGCCACAUUGGGACUGAGAUACGGCCCAGACUCCUACGGGAGGCAGCAGUGGGGAAUAUUGCACAAUGGGCGGAAGCCUGAUGCAGCAACGCCGCGUGCGGGAUGACGGCCUUCGGGUUGUAAACCGCUUUCGCCUGUGACGAAGCGUGAGUGACGGUAAUGGGUAAAGAAGCACCGGCUAACUACGUGCCAGCAGCCGCGGUGAUACGUAGGGUGCGAGCGUUGUCCGGAUUUAUUGGGCGUAAAAGGCUCGUAGGUGGUUGAUCGCGUCGGAAGUGUAAUCUUGGGGCUUAACCCUGAGCGUGCUUUCGAUACGGGUUGACUUGAGGAAGGUAGGGGAGAAUGGAAUUCCUGGUGGAGCGGUGGAAUGCGCAGAUAUCAGGAGGAACACCAGUGGCGAAGGCGGUUCUCUGGGCCUUUCCUGACGCUGAGGAGCGAAAGCGUGGGGAGCGAACAGGCUUAGAUACCCUGGUAGUCCACGCUGUAAACGGUGGGUACUAGGUGUGGGGUCCAUUCCACGGGUUCCGUGCCGUAGCUAACGCUUUAAGUACCCCGCCUGGGGAGUACGGCCGCAAGGCUAAAACUCAAAGGAAUUGACGGGGCCCCGCACAAGCGGCGGAGCAUGCGGAUUAAUUCGAUGCAACGCGUAGAACCUUACCUGGGUUUGACAUGGAUCGGGAGCGCUCAGAGAUGGGUGUGCCUCUUUUGGGGUCGGUUCACAGGUGGUGCAUGGCUGUCGUCAGCUCGUGUCGUGAGAUGUUGGGUUAAGUCCCGCAACGAGCGCAACCCUUGUUCACUGUUGCCAGCACGUUAUGGUGGGGACUCAGUGGAGACCGCCGGGGUCAACUCGGAGGAAGGUGGGGAUGACGUCAAGUCAUCAUGCCCCUUAUGUCCAGGGCUUCACGCAUGCUACAAUGGCUGGUACAGAGAGUGGCGAGCCUGUGAGGGUGAGCGAAUCUCGGAAAGCCGGUCUCAGUUCGGAUUGGGGUCUGCAACUCGACCUCAUGAAGUCGGAGUCGCUAGUAAUCGCAGAUCAGCAACGCUGCGGUGAAUACGUUCCCGGG